rnacentral:rRNA from 1 species
GGACUUGCACAAGUAGUGGAUUAUGUGGUUUAAUUCGAUGAUAAACGAAGAACCUUACCAAGGUUAGAAACCAAUUUGAAAGCCCUAAGAAACUAGGGCCCUCGCAAGACAGAUUGGCAGGUGAUGCAUGGCCGUCGUCAGUUCGUGGUUUGAAUUGUUCCCUUAAGUGGGGUAACGAACGCAACCCUCAUCGUGUGUUAUAAGUGUCACACGAGACUGCCCAGCCCUUUGGAUUUAAUUAAAAAGAUUGAAUCUAGUGGGCUGGGAGGAAGGGGAGGAUGACGCCAGGUCAGCAUGUCCCUUGAUACCUUGGGCUACACACAUAAUACAAUCGCAAUUACAACGGGCUGCGACGAGGUAACUCUGAGCUAAUCCUAAGAAAAAUUGCGCCAGUUCGGAUUGGGGGCUGCAACUCGACCCCAUGAAGUUGGAAUUACUAGUAAUCGCGGGUCAGAUAUACCGCGGUGAAUACGUUCUCAAGUCUU